UACGUAGGUGGCAAGCGUUGUCCGGAUUUAUUGGGUUUAAAGGGUGCGUAGGCGGCUUUGUAAGUCAGUGGUGAAAUAUGGCAGCUCAACUGUCAGGGUGCCAUUGAUACUGCAGAGCUUGAGUACAGAUGAGGUAGGCGGAAUUGACGGUGUAGCGGUGAAAUGCUUAGAUAUCGUCAAGAACACCGAUAGCGAAGGCAGCUUACUGGGCUGUAACUGACGCUGAUGCACGAAAGUGUGGGGAUCAAACAGG
rnacentral:rRNA from 1 species